rnacentral:rRNA from 1 species
GGAUUAGAAACCCUGGUAGUCCACGCCCUAAACGAUGUCUACUAGUUGUCGGGCUUAAUUGACUUGGUAACGCAGCUAACGCGUGAAGUAGACCGCCUGGGGAGUACGGUCGCAAGAUUAAAACUCAAAGGAAUUGACGGGGACCCGCACAAGCGGUGGAUGAUGUGGAUUAAUUCGAUGCAACGCGAAAAACCUUACCUACCCUUGACAUGUACGGAAUCCUGAAGAGAUUUAGGAGUGCUCGAAAGAGAACCGUAACACAGGUGCUGCAUGGCUGUCGUCAGCUCGUGUCGUGAGAUGUUGGGUUAAUCCCGCAACGAGCGCAACCCUUGUCAUUAGUUGCUACGAAAGGGCACUCUAAUGAGACUGCCGGUGAACAAACCGGAGGAAGG